UGAAGACAUCAUCAGUGGAUUCAUGCCAAUCCAGUUUCUGGACCUGCCAUCAGGACUGGAUCAUCGGUGGCUCACCCAAAUCAAGAACUUUGCUCUGUGCUCUGUUCUGUAAAAAAUGAACAAGGUGUGUCCAUCUCGUGGUAUAAAGGGGGCGAAAUGGUGAACCAGACCAGCAGUCCAGAUCUCAGCAUGAACCUGAGUUUACCAUUAGAGCUCCAUUAUACUGAUCCAGAGGCCUACAGCUGCACAGCUGCAAAUCCACAGAGCAAUAAGACCAUCCAUCUUCACAUCAAAGAGGUCUGCCCACAACAUGAAGAUUGUCCGGAGCAUUGUGGUGUUCUGAUUCGAUUGGUUUUGUCCGGUCUGGUGGGACUUGGCACUGUUGUAUUUCUGGUUGAGCACUUGAUGUUGUGCUCUGCUCUGCUCAAAGAACUCUGUCUGUGUGCUAAAGACAAUGCCAUGAAAGGUUCUAAGGUUAUAGAUAGCACCAAACAAAAUUAUAAAAAUGAAUUUGAUUUCCAAUCUACAGUAUGUGUUCUGUAAGUCUGUUGAGUGCUGGGGGGAUGAAUUAUUUUUUGUUUCUUUAGUUUAUUAUUUAUUUGUUGUAGGCCAAUACCUGGAAAU
ensembl:lncRNA